rnacentral:rRNA from 1 species
CACGUAGGGUGCAAGCGUUGUCCGGAAUUAUUGGGCGUAAAGGGCUCGUAGGCGGUCCGUCACGUCGGGAGUGAAAACUCGGGGCUCAACCCCGAGCCUGCUUUCGAUACGGGCGGACUAGAGGUAGGUAGGGGAGAACGGAAUUCCUGGUGUAGCGGUGGAAUGCGCAGAUAUCAGGAGGAACACCGGUGGCGAAGGCGGUUCUCUGGGCCUUACCUGACGCUGAGGAGCGAAAGCUAGGGGAGCAAACGGG